rnacentral:rRNA from 1 species
UACGUAGGCAGCAAGCGUUGUUCGGAGUUACUGGGCGUAAAGAGUGCGUAGGCGGUCUUUUAAGUUUGGUGUGAAAUCUCCCGGCUCAACUGGGAGGGUGCGCCGAAAACUGGAAGGCUUGAGGAUGGGAGAGGCAUGCGGAAUUCCUGGUGUAGCGGUGAAAUGCGUAGAUAUCAGGAGGAACACCGGUGGCGAAGGCGGGUCUCUGGGCCGAUACUGACGCUGAGGAGCGAAAGCGUGGGGAGCGAACAGG